UACGUAGGGGGCAAGCGUUGUCCGGAAUUACUGGGCGUAAAGGGCGCGUAGGCGGCCUGGUCAGUCGGAUGUGAAAGCCCGGGGCUCAACCCCGGAACGGCAUCCGAGACGGCCAGGCUGGAGACCGGGAGAGGAGAGUGGAAUAGCCAGUGUAGAGGUGAAAUUCGUAGAUAUUGGCUGGAACACCGGUGGCGAAAGCGGCUCUCUGGCCCGGUUCUGACGCUGAGGCGCGAAAGCGUGGGGAGCAAACAGG
rnacentral:rRNA from 1 species